UUAUGCGAUAACUUGGUGUGAAUUGCAGAAUCCCGUGAACCAUCGAGUCUUUGAACGCAAGUUGCGCCCGAAGCCAGUAGGUUGAGGGCACGUCUGCCUGGGUGUCA
rnacentral:rRNA from 1 species